UACGAAGGGGGCUAGCGUUGCUCGGAAUCACUGGGCGUAAAGGGUGCGUAGGCGGGUCUUUAAGUCAGGGGUGAAAUCCUGGAGCUCAACUCCAGAACUGCCUUUGAUACUGAGGAUCUUGAGUCCGGGAGAGGUGAGUGGAACUGCGAGUGUAGAGGUGAAAUUCGUAGAUAUUCGCAAGAACACCGGUGGCGAAGGCGGCCAACUGGUCCGGAUCUGACGCUGAGGCGCGAAGGCGUGGGGAGCAAACAGG
rnacentral:rRNA from 1 species